GUAAAUUUGAGUGACUUAAAUGAAUAGGGUGAAGAAAAGGCCUGGGAUACACAGAACCAAACUACUUAUAAACCCAAUCCAGAUCCACUAAACUCACUCUUCUACUAAAGAAAAAUCUAGGUCAACCGUUAAACAUUCAUAUAAAUUUGUUCAGCAUUUACAUUUAUUGAACACCUACUAGGGCACCAGGCAGUAGGAGGCAAUGGAAAGUAAAGGCUCAUGCUCACGGAGUUUAUAUUCUACUGGAGAGUUUUUUCCUCUUUUUUUAUUCCGAGAACUGGGGAUUGAGCUGAGGCCAUUGCACUUGCCAGGAAAGCACAUAUUCUACUAAGCCAUCUCCCUGGCCCCGGGAGAGAUCUUUCGUCAAAACAUUGUCAAUGAUGGAGGAGAAACAGAAGCUCAGUCAGGAGCCAGCGAAGACAGGCCUGUAUGACCACAGGAUGAAAACAAAGAUGAGAAGCUGACUGCCGCCUGUAGUACACACCUGCAAUCCCAGCGCUCAGGACACUAAGUCAGGAGGACUGCCACGCACUGAAGGCCAGUCUGAACUAUGGUGAGACCCUGUCUCAAAAAACAAACAAAGGAUAAGCAGCUGAGCAGCCUUUUUUCUGGCAGCAUCUGAGGGUCAGUAUUGCUUGGCUAAGAUGACCCAAACCAGAGACGGCCCCACCUCCAAAGAUGCAAGUUCACCUAUGACAGCCAACUAGGUUACUCACACUAGCUGUCUACUUUUGCAUGAGGUACACAGUAAACCUGACACCUGGACUAAGUACCCGAACUGCACACUUGACCUUGCAAGCUUAUAAUAGAUAUAUUUUCUUCCCCAGUAUCAGCAGGGAAUGUUCAAAUGUCAGAAACGAUCCUCAGAAGUACCACA